CCCUUAGAUGUUCUGGGCCGCACGCGUGCUACACUGAGUGGAUCAGCGGGUCAGGUUGCGCGAAAGUGUUUCCUAAUCUUUAAUCCGCUCGUGAUGGGGAUUGACGGUUGCAAUUUUCCGUCAUGAACGAGGAAUACCUUGUAAGCGCGGGUCAUCAUCCCGCGCUGAAUACGUCCCUGCCCUUUGUACACACCGCCCGUCGCUCCUACCGAUUGAGUGGUCCGGUGAGGCUUUGGGAUCUGAGCGGAAAGAGCGUUUCGCUGUUUCUGCCCGGAAAACUCAGUCGAACCUUAUCAUUUAGAGGAAGGAGAAGUCGUAACA
rnacentral:rRNA from 1 species